GAGGGUAGAGCCCAGGGGAAGAGCGUGUGCUUAGCAUGCACGAGGUCAUGGGUUCAAUCCCCAGUUCCUCCG
rnacentral:tRNA from 1 species